GGCCCUAUUCGCCUAAACCAAACCAGUAAACCCUCUGUCUCUCAAUCGCUCAAAGACUCGGAACCUUAAAUGCAGGCGCAACCGCAGCCCUCUCUGCCUCCCUCUGUCUCUCAAUCGCAAUCGCGGGCUCGCAGCCCUCUCUCGAAGACUCGAACUGAUGGCUCGUCCUUAAUCGCGAACCGUAAAUCGCAGGUCGCCGCUCACCGCCUCACGCCGGAGUCGAGUCGCCGGUCGCCGGAGUCGCCGGAGUCGCCGUUCGCCGGAGUCCAUAAAUCCAGGUCUCCAGAAUUUCAAUAAUCAAAUAUUCAAGAUAAGUAGAUUGGCAGUAAGCAGUAUGGUUGUAUGGGCGUAUGGCUAUGACUUGUGAAUUUUGAAGACCAUGAAGUUCAUAUUGUUUGUUUAUUUAGUAUGUUUUGUGAAGACUAUGAAGUUCAUGCCCUUAUUUACUAAAAUUAAUAAAAGAAGCUGAGACUCCAAAUGAGACAGAGACGCUUCCCCAUUCAGCCUAAUUCAAUUCUGCGGAUUGAAGCUUCCGCCGACCGCUGACCACGACUGCCAACCACGACCAGCCC